rnacentral:rRNA from 1 species
GACGAACGCUGGCGGCGUGCUUAACACAUGCAAGUCGAACGGAAAGACCCUGCUUUUGUUGGUUGCUCGAGUGGCGAACGGGUGAGUAACACGUGAGUAACCUGCCCUUGACUUUGGGAUAUCUUUUGGAAACUGGGGCUAAUACCGGAUAGGAGAUCCUGCGGCCUGGUGGGCGUUGGUAAGUUUCGGCGGUUGGGGAUGGACUCGCUGCUUAUCAGCUUGUUGGUGGGGUUGUGGCUUCCCAAGGGUUUGACGGGUAGCCGGCCUGAGAGGGUGACCGGCCACAUUGGGACUAAGAUACGGACCAGACUCCUACGGGAGGCAGCGGUGGGGAAUAUUACACAGUGGGCGGAAGCCUGAUGCAGCAACGCCGCGUGCGGGAUGACGGCCUUCGAGUUGUAAACCGCUUUCGCCUGUGACGAAGCGUGAGUGACGGUAAUGGGUAAAGAGGCACCGGCUAACUACGUG